AGUCCAGUAGCACCUUAGAGACCAACUAAGUUUGUUCUGGGUUGUUUUCGUGCAUGCCCACGAAAGCUUAUACCCAGAACAAACUUAGUUGGUCUCUAAGGUGCUACUGGACA